rnacentral:lncRNA from 1 species
AAACCUUUAAUAGUCAAAUCUCAAGAGAUCAAUUGAUUCCAAUAAUUGACACUACAACAGAAUUAGAUUAUAGGGACACAUGUUUGGGACACUUUUGAGAAAGUGUCCCAUUUAUGCUAAAAUUUAAAAAAACAUCUACUAAUGCCUAAAUAUAAAGCCCAAUCCAACAAAAAAUAAAAGAUUACUCUACUCAACCCACCACACCCAGUCCAUUUGGCUCGAUUACGAACUGAAAAGAAAAAAAAAAGAAAAAUCAAUUACCAUAUUUUCUUCUCUCUUCACUCAAUCCACUGAAAUUCUAGACGAAGAGCCUUUCCUGUCGUCCUCCUCCGCCACCGCAGCGAACGAGAUAGAGUUUCGGCGGUUGUUAAAUGCUUAAAUAAGUGUUGGUAAAUUAGCAACACUUUUUUAGGUUAUAGUGACACUCAUUAACUGUCACUAUAUAGCUAGCGACCCCACAUAUAGCAACACUUUUUAAAAGUGUCGGUAAUUUUAGCUAGCAGUACUUUUUUGACAUGUACCUACAUUUAAAAGUGUCGCUAUAGACCGUUUUUGUUGUAGUGUGAAAAGAGGAGUGACCAUAUGUAUUACUCUAGUGAUUUAUUGAUAUAUUAGAUAAAAACAAAUUAUUAAUCUCCAAAUAAAUGUUUUAAUUUUCUUGAGAAUGAAAUCUAAAAACCACCCAAUUGUUUUAUUCAAGUUUUUUUUUUCCCAUUUUUGUGGUCCAUAUAUUGAAUGGUGCCCUAAUUUUUUUUCGAUAUUAUAUGUCUUUAUCAAAGCUAUCCAAUCAACAAGAAGAAGAUCUUAAUUGGAUGUUUCAAUUUCCUUAUAAUGUUAUGUUAUGGCAACAAAGUCUAAUAUGAUGUGAACACUUUUAGCUCCUUAAAUUGUGAGACAUGUCAAAAUGUCAUCUAUCAACUAGGUGGUAGGUUUUUCCAUCAACAGGUAAUCACCAAGUGUUAUUAGGGUAGAUAAAAUAGUGGGGCUACAUGUCCCUAACAAGGGGCCAAAAUUAUGAGAAAUUAUUUCCUCGCCGCCCACUAAAAUUCUACGCACUACAACAGAAUUAGGUUAUAGAGACACAUGUUUGGGACACUUUUGAGUAAGUGUCUCAUUUAUGCUAAAACUUAAAAAAGCAUCUAGUUAUGUCUAAAUAUAAAGCCCAAUCCAACCAAAAAUAAAAGAUUACUCUACUCAACCCACCACACCCAGUCCAUUGGACCGAUUACAAACAGAAAAGAAAAAAAAAAAAAUCAAUUACCAUCUUUUCUUCUCUCUUCACUCAAUCCACUGAAAUUCUAGACGAAGAGCCUUUCCUGUCGUCCUCCUCCGCCACCGCAGCCAACGAGAUAGAGUUUCGGCGGUUGCUAAAUGCUUAAAUAAGUGUUGGUAAAUUAGCAGCACUCUUUUAGAUUAUAGCGACACACUUUAACUGUCACUAUAUACCUAGCAACCCCACAUAUAGCAACACUUUUUAAAAGUGUUGGUAAUUUUAGCUAGCAGUACUUUUUUGACAUGUACCUACAUUUAAAAGUGUCGCUAUAAACCGUUUUUGUUGUAGUGACGAUAGAGGCCUCCAAAUCAAAAUUUAAUUUAAUAAAUAUAUUCCGCGAUACUUAGAAAGUUAAGAUGUCGAAAAUUAUAAAAUUCAGAUAUUACUUUCUUGCAAAUCAAAUAAUGAUCACUUUUUUCACUAUUAAAUUGCAGGAAUAAUAUCUAAUAUGUUCUUCCAAACUUUAAAAAUAUCUAAAAUAUUUCUUGUUGACCAAAAUGUCAUUAUUAAUUUUCAAAAAUCUCUUCAAAUAUUCUCCAAACUUCUAGGAUUUAUUGAUAGGAUUUGGAGUUUAAAAGAGUAUUGUGAUAGUUUCAAAAUAAAUUUAAAAAUUUUGAAUUGUAGUCGGGAGUAAAUAAGUAAAAGCUUAUAAAUUUUAAGGUAACUUGAUGUAUUUAUAAUAGGUUUUAGUUCUUGUGAUUUUCUUUUGUACGUCGACGUAGUGUAGAUCAGGUUUGUCAAAUUAGAUUUUAAUUUUAAGAUAUUAAUCGUCAAAAAGUGGGUGUAGUGCAUGAGUUUGAGUAUGUGUAUGGUGGAUACACCGCGUGCAAGCAACAAUUUCUCCAAAAAUUAUAUUGUUAUACUUGCGUAGUAACCCGCACGAUGCAACAGAUAGAUAAUUGAAAAAAAAAUAAAAAACGUGGACAAAAAAAAGAAAACGGUGAUAAAAAAAACAAAGAUAACAGCCGAAGAAAGAGGAAGAGGAAGGACCUGAACUGGUUCAGGAUAGAGUCCGCACUCAACAAUGAAAGAAAAGUUGUCUUGUGGCAACUUUAGGAGAAAUAAUGUAUAUGUAUAGAUAUAUAGAUAUAAAUAUAGAUGAGCGA